AGGACGAACGCUGGCGGCGUGCUUAACACAUGCAAGUCGAGCGGAAGGGCCCUUCGGGGUACUCGAGCGGCGAACGGGUGAGUAACACGUGAGCAAUCUGCCCUUAGCUUCGGGAUAGCCCCGGGAAACCGGGAUUAAUACCGAAUAUGACCUCGGCCGACAUCGGCCCUGGUGGAAAGUUUUUCGGCCAGGGAUGGGCUCGCGGCCUAUCAGCUUGUGGCAGGGUAAUGGCCUACCAAGGCGACGACGGGUA
rnacentral:rRNA from 1 species